rnacentral:rRNA from 1 species
UACGUAGGGUGCAAGCGUUAAUCGGAAUUACUGGGCGUAAAGCGUGCGCAGGCGGUUUUGUAAGUCUGUCGUGAAACCCUCGGGCUCAACCUGGGAAUUGCGAUGGAGACUGCAAGGCUUGAAUCUGGCAGAGGGGGGUAGAAUUCCACGUGUAGCAGUGAAAUGCGUAGAGAUGUGGAGGAACACCGAUGGCGAAGGCAGCCCCCUGGGCCAAUACUGACGCUCAUGCACGAAAGCGUGGGGAGCAAACAGG